GCAAACUUGGUCAUUUAGAGGAAGUAAAAGUCGUAACAAGGUUUUCGUAGGUGAACCUGCGAAAGGAUCAUUACCGAGUUAGGGUCUCUCCAGGCCCGACCUCCCAACCCUUUGUUUACCCGACCUCUCGUUGCUUCGGCGGGCCCGUCCUAGGACCGCCGGAGGGCCGUGAAACGUCCUCUGGCCCGCGCCCGUCGGUGGCCAACAAACAAAAUCUUUAUGAAAAACGUGUCUUGACCUGAGUAUCGAUUCUUUAAUGAAAAUCAAAACUUUCAACAACGGAUCUCUUGGUUCUGGCAUCGAUGAAGAACGCAGC
rnacentral:misc_RNA from 1 species